rnacentral:rRNA from 1 species
UGGGGGGGGCCUUAUACAUGCAAGUCGAGCGGACAGAAGGGAGCUUGCUCCCGGAUGUUAGCGGCGGACGGGUGAGUAACACGUGGGUAACCUGCCUGUAAGACUGGGAUAACUCCGGGAAACCGGAGCUAAUACCGGAUAGUUCCUUGAACCGCAUGGUUCAAGGAUGAAAGACGGUUUCGGCUGUCACUUACAGAUGGACCCGCGGCGCAUUAGCUAGUUGGUGAGGUAACGGCUCACCAAGGCGACGAUGCGUAGCCGACCUGAGAGGGUGAUCGGCCACACUGGGACUGAGACACGGCCCAGACUCCUACGGGAGGCAGCAGUAGGGAAUCUUCCGCAAUGGACGAAAGUCUGACGGAGCAACGCCGCGUGAGUGAUGAAGGUUUUCGGAUCGUAAAGCUCUGUUGUUAGGGAAGAACAAGUGCAAGAGUAACUGCUUGCACCUUGACGGUACCUAACCAGAAAGCCACGGCUAACUACGUGCCAGCAGCCGCGGUAAUACGUAGGUGGCAAGCGUUGUCCGGAAUUAUUGGGCGUAAAGGGCUCGCAGGCGGUUUCUUAAGUCUGAUGUGAAAGCCCCCGGCUCAACCGGGGAGGGUCAUUGGAAACUGGGAAACUUGAGUGCAGAAGAGGAGAGUGGAAUUCCACGUGUAGCGGUGAAAUGCGUAGAGAUGUGGAGGAACACCAGUGGCGAAGGCGACUCUCUGGUCUGUAACUGACGCUGAGGAGCGAAAGCGUGGGGAGCGAACAGGAUUAGAUACCCUGGUAGUCCACGCCGUAAACGAUGAGUGCUAAGUGUUAGGGGGUUUCCGCCCCUUAGUGCUGCAGCUAACGCAUUAAGCACUCCGCCUGGGGAGUACGGUCGCAAGACUGAAACUCAAAGGAAUUGACGGGGGCCCGCACAAGCGGUGGAGCAUGUGGUUUAAUUCGAAGCAACGCGAAGAACCUUACCAGGUCUUGACAUCCUCUGACAACCCUAGAGAUAGGGCUUUCCCUUUCGGGGACAGAGUGACAGGUGGUGCAUGGAUGUCGUCAGCUCGUGUCGUGAGAUGUGGGAUAGUCCCGCAACGAGCGCAACCCAUGAUCUAGUUGCCAGCAUUCAGUUGGCACUCUAGGUGAACUGCCGGUGACCAACCCGGAGGCAGGGUGGGGAAUGUAAACG